rnacentral:rRNA from 1 species
UACGAAGGGGGCUAGCGUUGUUCGGAAUCACUGGGCGUAAAGCGCACGUAGGCGGAUCUUUAAGUCAGAGGUGAAAUCCCAAGGCUCAACCUUGGAACUGCCUUUGAUACUGGGGAUCUUGAGUCCGAGAGAGGUGAGUGGAACUGCGAGUGUAGAGGUGAAAUUCGUAGAUAUUCGCAAGAACACCAGUGGCGAAGGCGGCUCACUGGCCCGGUACUGACGCUGAGGUGCGAAAGCGUGGGGAGCAAACAGG